rnacentral:snoRNA from 1 species
GGAUGGAUGAUGACUCCUUCGUAUGCAUUCCUUGGAAAAUCUGAACAAAAUGAGUGAGAACGCUCUACCGUCUCCUCAUCGAAACUGAGGUCC